rnacentral:rRNA from 1 species
UACGUAGGGGGCAAGCGUUGUCCGGAUUUAUUGGGCGUAAAGAGCGUGUAGGCGGCCAAACAGGUCAGCUGUGAAAACUCGAGGCUCAACCUCCGAGACGUCGGUUGAAACCGUUUGGCUAGAGUCCGGAAGAGGAGAGUGGAAUUCCCGGUGUGAGGCGGUGAAAUGCGCAGAUAUCGGAAGAACACCCGUGGCGAAGGCGGCUCUCUGGGACGGUACUGACGCGUGACGACGCGAAAGCCGUGGGAGCGAACGAGG